rnacentral:rRNA from 1 species
UACGGAGGGUGCAAGCGUUGUCCGGAUUCAUUGGGUUUAAAGGGUGCGCAGGCGGGACAUUAAGUCAGGGGUGAAAGACGGUUGCUCAACAAUCGCAGUGCCUUUGAUACUGGUGUUCUUGGGUAACCUUGAGGUAGGCGGAAUGGGUGGUGUAGCGGUGAAAUGCAUAGAUACCACCCAGAACUCCGAUUGCGAAGGCAGCCUAUUGGAGGUCAACCGACGCUCAGGCACGAAAGCGUGGGGAGCAAACAGG